UGGGGAAUUUUGCACAAUGGGCGCAAGCCUGAUGCAGCGACGCCGCGUGAGGGAUGAAGGCCUUCGGGUUGUAAACCUUUUCCGCUCAUGGUCAAGCCGCAGCUUUGGGUUUGGUGAGGGUAGUGGGUAAAGAAGCGCCGGCUAACUACGUGCCAGCAGCCGCGGUAAUACGUAGGGCGCGAGCGUUGUCCGGAAUUAUUGGGCGUAAAGGGCUUGUAGGCGGUUGGCCGCGUCUGCCGUGAAAUCCUCUGGCUUAACUGGGGGCGUGCGGUGGGCACGGGUUGACUUGAGUGCGGUAGGGGAGACUGGAAUUCCUGGUGUAGCGGUGGAAUGCGCAGAUAUCAGGAGGAACACCGGUGGCGAAGGCGGGUCUCUGGGCCGUUACUGACGCUGAGGAGCGAAAGCGUGGGGAGCGAACAGG
rnacentral:rRNA from 1 species